UGUUCAUUUGAGCUUAGCUCUGCUUUUAACUUACUCGAUUCUCUUCCCCUUCUCCUCAGAGAACCAGCUGGAAAGCCUGCCCGCAACUUGCUCGCUCACCUUCUUUGCCCACUCUCACCCCACAUGCUGGAACGCUUACCUGCCUCACACAGCCAAGUGCUGCCACCAUUAAUCCUGUGGAGAGAAGGAGAAAGUGUUUGGUCUGGAAACUGGGCAAUUUAGAAGUGGUUUCCAGAAGGAGCAGAUCGGAUUCUUUGUGAGCGGGAAAACAGAAUCUUGUACUUGUUGUAUACAGAGAUCCUGAGUCAUUAGUGGUUCGCCUCCAAUGAUAAUUCAGUUCAGUUCAGCCAGAUAAUUUUGAUUUAGAUGAAAGCAAUGAGCUGACAGAGGGCUCCUUUUUCCCCCCUGGUCUUGUAUGUGUUCAAAAGGAAAAGAAAGCAAAAGAAAUGAACCUCUAAGAUGAUGGUGAUGCAAAGGAUCGGGUAAUUGUUGGAGCCGUGUGGAGCUGCUGAUGACAAAGGAAAUGAAAAUACAGGAGUUGUUUUCACACUGUAGACUGUACAUAAAAGAUGGAUGCAACCACUCUAACAUCACCCAGUGGAUUCUGUCAGUAGUUGCUGAUUGCUUAAAAUCGGUUAACAGCAUUGCACUUUAUGGAUACAGAUUGUUAACUAAUCUUGCUAGUGUUAGCACUUCCACCGAGGACUGUAUAUUAAAGAUGGACAUACCCACUAUGACAUCACCUGUUGGUUUCUUGAAAGGCCCAGUGUCAGCAUUUUGGCUGUCAAAAGCCAGAAGUAACAAUGUAGAGGCUGAAAUGGUCCAUCAAUAAAUCCAAAAAUAUCUGCUAAUUAGCGCUAAAUAACAGAUAAAAACUGUAUAUUUAAUAAGACAGCAGUCGGAAUUUCCAAGUUCCCAGUCAGUCAGUUUAAUCUGAAAUAACCCAUCAACUCAAAUUUCCCUCUCAGAAAAUCAGACCAGC